rnacentral:misc_RNA from 1 species
GCACUUGGACACACAGGGAGAUAGGGGACGACAUGGGCCUGUGCGGCACAGUCUGCCGUUGUGAUUUUGAGCAAGGCCAUAUAAUUUUGAGAGAAUAUUACUUGCGUUUAGAUUACAACUAUCCGACGCAAUUUAAUAUCAGUGUUUCUAGCCCAAUAUAUCCUUCGUUUGAUAUUUUUAAGGAGGAAAAUCAUUAUUGUUUGAGUUGUACCUGAGCUAAGCAAAUAUGAUCAAGAAUCGAAGCCUUGCUGGAAAGUGGGCAAUAGGCUUGUUUUCUCUCACAUUAAUUCUUGUAGUACUUGCUUUUUCAACUCAGAAUUGGCUCGCCAGUGACGACCGUUUCUAUGGCGCAAAGUUGGAGAAAAUGGGAUUGUGGGUUCAUUGCUUCAGGAGCCUUACUGGCCCAAACGAUCCCACGCAGCGUCUGUUCUUCAGUGGCUGUCGCUGGCUGUUUGAUACCUACACAACAGGCUAUGCUGAGAUUCGAAGCCACUUAACACCUCCAUUCUUCAUAGCUGUGCAGAUGUUCUACACCCUGACUUUCAUGUGCACGGCAACAAGCGGAGUUCUGGUUCUGAUGCUGAUGUUUUGUAUCGACGAGGACCGUGAAACGUGCUUCCUGAGAGUGAUCGCCACUCUGAUGGGACUGUCUGGCAUUUGCGGCACGUUGUCUGUGAUCAUAUUCGGCGCCAACGGUCGCAGCUACGAGUGGACCGCCGACAAACAGCACAACUAUCUGUCCUGGAGCUACGGUCUAGCCGUCCUCGCGGCGUUCCUGCAGCUCGUGCUCUGCGUACUGGUCAUCAACGAGGUCAGGAUCACAAGAAAGAAACACAGUCGCAUGAUGCCGCCGCAGCAGGCAGCAGAAGUGGAUCUGUAAUUGAUACAGCGCUACCCAGUGGCAAUGUGAACAACUUCAGCUGCCGGCAGCGCCACCAGAGGCGCUCGUAAUCGUGUUUGUUCUAUGGUGAGCAUUUGAUUUUCAGUUACGUGUACCGUGGUUCACAGGAAGUGAUCUGUGAAUGUUGUAUCGUUUUUAUAUGAAUCUCCCUGAAAAAGUUCUGAUCUGGCAUUUUUGCUAUACUUGCACUUGAAGAAAAGUCAUCUAUUUACCGGUAUCGUAGUUCAUUUUAUCUUUACGCAUCAUUGAGGCGGUGUUGGAAGCCUUUUUAUUUCAUUUUCAAUUUUGUACCUCGUUUAGAGGCAGCCAACUUGUUGUAAUUUGAAGGCUCGACGUUUUUGUCUCGUUUUCAAAUGAUGGGCAUGCUGUUGUGAACGAGCGUUGUUGUUUGAAGCGCGCCGACCAGUCUUCCGUCCACAGCUGCAGAGCAACUGUCCGUCCAGAUAACGAAUCUCAGUGUACAUUCCGCCGCUUUUUGCACACGUAUCCGUCCGCAUAUGCUGCUCACAAGCAUCGCUGAAGGUUGUACUUAUCAAAGCUGCGGUGUUUUCGUGAGAUGCUGUACCUAAUCGGGACGCACUGACGUCUAGCUUAGUACUACUCAUACUGAUAUGUAAUGAAGAUUAGACGUUUUAGAUGCACCUGUUUGAAGGGACAGUCGCGUUAUUCAUCUCGCAUGCGAUAUGCGUAUUUUUCUAUCGUAUUGUAAGCUGGGAUUGACGGCGAUAUUGCUCCUAUUCGGGGCAUGUGUUCAUCCGCUUGUCUUUGUAAAUACAUUCCGCUACAUUGAAAAA